CCUACGGGGGGCUGCAGUGGGGAAUAUUGCGCAAUGGGCGAAAGCCUGACGCAGCGACGCCGCGUGAGGGACGAAGGUCUUCGGAUCGUAAACCUCUGUCAGCAGGGAAGAACGGUCACUGUGCUAAUCAGCAGUGAAUUGACGGUACCUGCAAAGGAAGCACCGGCUAACUCCGUGCCAGCCGCCGCGGUAAUACGGAGGGUGCGAGCGUUAAUCGGAAUUACUGGGCGUAAAGCGCUCGUAGGCGGUAUGUCCAGUCAAGGGUGAAAUCCCCGCGCUCAACGUGGGAACUGCCUUUGAAACUGGCAAACUGGAGUGUGUGAGAGGAUAGUGGAAUUCCAGGUGUAGGAGUGAAAUCCGUAGAUAUCUGGAGGAACAUCAGUGGCGAAGGCGACUAUCUGGCACAUAACUGACGCUGAGGAGCGAAAGCGUGGGUAGCAAACAGGAUUAGAUACCCGGGUAGUC
rnacentral:rRNA from 1 species